GGGUCAGUAGGUUGGUCGUGCCACCGGUACGUACUGGUCUCACUGAUUCCUCCUUCCUGAAGAACCGUAAUGCCAUUAAUUUGGUGUUGCGGGGAAUCAGGACUGUUACUUUGAAAAAAUUAGAGUGUUUAAAGCAAGCUAACGCUUGAAUACAUUAGCAUGGAAUAAUGAAAUAGGACGAUCGAUCCUAUUUUGUUGGUUUCUAGGAUUGACGUA
rnacentral:rRNA from 1 species